rnacentral:rRNA from 1 species
UGAGUGCGAGCGGCUACGGCCGCGAAGUGGGUGAUGUCAAGCUUCCAAGAAAAGCCCUAUACCCGUUAAGGCAUGAUGGCCUGUACCCGAAACCGACACAGGUGGGGUGGUAGAGAAUACCGAGGGGCGCGAGGUAACUCUCUCUAAGGAACUCGGCAAAAUGGCCCCGUAACUUCGGGAGAAGGGGUGCCACCGCAAGGUGGUCGCAGUGAAGAGGCCCAGGCGACUGUUUACCAAAAACACAGGUCUCCGCUAAGUCGCAAGACGAUGUAUGGGGGCUGACGCCUGCCCAGUGCCGGAAGGUUAAGGAAGCUGGUCAGCGCAAGCGAAGCUGGCGACUGAAGCCCCGGUGAACGGCGGCCGUAACGAUAACGGUCCUAAGGUAGCGAAAUUCCUUGUCGGGUAAGUUCCGACCCGCACGAAAGGCGUAACGAUCUGGGCGCUGUCUAGGAGAGAGGCUCGGCGAAAUAGAAUUGUCUGUGAGGAUGCGGACUACGUGCACCCGGACAGAAAGACCCUAUGAAGCUUUACUGUAGCUUGGUAUUGUGCCCGGGCUCUGAAUGCGCAGGAUAGGUGGGAGGCUUUGAUCCAUGGCUUGCGGGUCAUGGUGAGCCAACGGUGAGAUACCACUCUUUCAGAGCUAGGGUUCUAACGGUCACCCGUCAUCCGGGGACCGGACAGUAUCAGGUGGGCAGUUUGACUGGGGCGGUCGCCUCCUAAAAGGUAACGGAGGCGCGCAAAGGUUUGCUCAGGCUGGUUGGAAAUCAGCCGACGAGUGCAAAAGCAGAAGCAAGCUUGACUGUGAGACCUACAAGUCGAACAGUGACGAAAGUCGGCUUUAGUGAUCCGACGGUUCUGAGUGGAAGGGCCGUCGCUCAACGGAUAAAAGUUACUCUAAGGAUAACAGGCUGAUCUCCCCCAAGAGUUCACAUCGACGGGGAGGUUUGGCACCUCGAUGUCGGCUCAUCGCAACCUGGGGCUGAAGUCGGUCCCAAGGGUUGGGCUGUUCGCCCAUUAAAGCGGUACGCGAGCUGGGUUCAGAACGUCGUGAGACAGUUCGGUCCAUAUCCGGUGCACGCGCAGGAACAUUGAGAGGAUUUCUCCCUAGUACGAGAGGACCGGGAGGAACGCACCUCUGGUGUGCCAGUUAUCGUGCCAACGGUAAACGCUGGGUAGCCAUGUGCGGAGUGGAUAACCGCUGAAAGCAUCUAAGUGGGAAGCCCACCUCAAGAUGAGUGUUCCCAUGGCAUAAGCCAGUAAGGUCACGGGAAGAACACCCGUUGAUAGGCUCUACGUGGAAGCCGGGUAACCGGUGAAGCGGAGGAGUACUAAUAGACCGAGGGCUU